UAAUACCAGCUCUCCCGAGUGGUAGGGACGAUUAUUGGGCUUAAAGCGUCCGUAGCCGGCCCGGCAAGUCUCCCGUUAAAUCCAGCGACCUAAUCGUUGGGCUGCAGGAGAUACUGUUGGGCUAGGAGGCUGGAGAGGCCGACGGUAUUCCCGGGGUAGGGGUGAAAUCCUAUAAUCCCGGGAGGACCACCAGUGGCGAAGGCUGUCGGCUAGAACGCGCUCGACGGUGAGGGACGAAAGCUGGGGGAGCGAACCGGAUUAGAUACCCGGGUAGUCCCAGCUGUAAACGAUGCGGGCUAGGUGUUGGGAUGGCUACGAGCCACUUCAGUGCCGCAGGGAAGCCAUUAAGCCCGCCGCCUGGGGAGUACGGCCGCAAGGCUG
rnacentral:rRNA from 1 species